rnacentral:rRNA from 1 species
AGCGAACGCUGGCGGUAGGCCUAACACAUGCAAGUCGAACGGCAGCACAGUAAGAGCUUGCUCUUACGGGUGGCGAGUGGCGGACGGGUGAGGAAUACAUCGGAAUCUACUUUUUCGUGGGGGAUAACGUAGGGAAACUUACGCUAAUACCGCAUACGACCUACGGGUGAAAGCAGGGGAUCUUCGGACCUUGCGCGAUUGAAUGAGCCGAUGUCGGAUUAGCUAGUUGGCGGGGUAAAGGCCCACCAAGGCGACGAUCCGUAGCUGGUCUGAGAGAAUGAUCAGCCACACGGGAACUGAGACACGGUCCAGACGCCGACGGGAGGAAGCAGUGGGGAAUAUUGGACAAUGGGCGCAAGCCUGAUCCAGCCAUACCGCGUGGGUGAAGAAGGCCUUCGGGUUGUAAAGCCCUUUUGUUGGGAAAGAAAAGCAGCAGGUUAAUACCCCGCUGUUCUGACGGUACCGAAAGAAUAAGCACCGGCUAACUUCGUG